GACAGAGAUGCCACAGAGGUACCGAGACGGCAGGAGCCUCGAUUAGCCCAUUUGCUGCCGUGCGGCCCACCAGGGACUUUCUCCAGCCUGCUGUGCGUUGUUGGAACUAAAUUCAGCAACGUGAGAGCACUUGGGUGGGAUUGAAACGGAGCCUCGGCAAUACUCCCCCCUCCCGAUUCUCAGCAACAGAGGUGCAACCUGACGACUUCAGGCCGCAACACGCUCAACAGGUACUAUUUAAAAUUAGGGACGUGUAAAAACUCAGUGAAAGAACUGAUUAAACACUUCCCUCCCCUCCAAGGAGUCUGGGGAAUUUGGCUGUAAGGAUGAAAAAGAAGGUGCGGACUAACCUGACGAGCUCAGGACAGGCCUGCGUGGGGAACCUUACAACCCGAAGACCUAGACUGACGGCACGGAAUGACCUGAAAUGAGGACUUCCUCACUACAGAGGGCAGCAGAGAUAUUCUGCGACUGGAAGCCCCCUCCUCAGCAUCACCCACAGCCCAGCAGGGCCCAACCUCAC